AAAUAUGCUUUGGUAAGAAAGUUUCUGUAAGUAAGACACUUACGUUGAAAAGUCUCAAAACAUGAUUUUACAAGUGAAUUUCGUUUCAUAUAUCUCGCUUCAUAAGACUCUCCUACAAAGUGAGAUACUUUGAUGUGAUUUUGCUCAUCAAGAAUGUCAUAUGAAAUUAUACCGCAUAAUAGUAACGUAAAAUUUUGCGGUUCUAAAGGAGUACGGUGCAAUAUUUUUCAAGAACAUCAUCCUAAUUUUUCCCUACUCUAGGUAUGUUAAGGCUAUCCCUUCUUUCAUUUUGGCAUGAUCUAUAUGACACGAAUGAAAUGAGCAAAUGCACAAUUUCCAUAAAUGACUCUAUUCAUAAAAAUAUUAGGGGUGUCUAUAUUCUUGAUUCUCCAUCUGAAUUAUUAUUAUAUUUUCUGUUCAUGGGUCUCAUAAAAAUACGUAUUUGAUAAAAUUUAUCCGACAAGCAUAUUAUUUUUAUGACAUUCCGAGAAAAUCUUAUUAACGUAUUUCUUAAGGCAUAUUAUUUUUAUGACCUUCCGAGAAAAUAUUAUUAACGUAUUUCUUAUGCAUUUCAUGCAUUCAUACAUAUAUAUUGAACCAUGACCAGAUGGCGUUAUAUACGUGUAUAUAUAUAUAUAUGGAAUAUGGGAAAAGGUUAUGGCGUUAUAUACGCACCACCACCUGAUCAGCUGGUAUACGUUGAUGAUUUGCCCACAAUGACCGAAAUGAUAUGAUGGGAUUCCCCCAGUGGCUUGAUGAUGUUAUGAACACAUUUAUCUAUGCAUGGUAUGACAUUUAUACGCAUAUGCAUGACAUUAUAAAAAUAAAAUGAUUCACAGAGCUAUGCAGACGUACAUGUCGAGUCUUUUACUCCAUGUUUCUCUCAUAUCUAUUAUUUACUAUUUUUCAUUCUUUACGUACUCGGUACAUUAUUUGUACUGACGUCCCUUUUACCUAGGGAUGCUGCGUUUCAUGCCCGCAGGUCUCAAUAGGCAGGUCGAGAGCCCUCCAAGUAGGCGAUCAGCUCAGCGAAAAAAUGUGGGUGCACUCCAUUUGCUCCGGAGUUGCUUGUUUGGUCAGUAUGAUUUAAAUGUGUAUUGUUUGGUAUGGCGGGGGUCUGUCCCGACCUUUAUGAUAAUUAUAUAUUCUUAGAGGCUUAUAGACAGAUGUCAUGUAUAUGUAAGAUUGUACGGCUUUGUCGGCCUAUGUUUUGAAUUUAUUAAUGAUCAUAUUGGCCUAUUAGGCCCGUAUGUCACGUGUAUAUGAUGAUGUAAUAAGAAAGAUACGUUAGGUUGGUACUCGGUUGAGUAAGGCACUGGGUGCCCGUCGCGGACCAUUGGUUUGGGCCGUGACAAAAGUGAUAUCGGAGCAGUUCUGUCCUAGUAAGUCUACAAACCGUGUCUAGUAGAG
rnacentral:lncRNA from 1 species